UUGUUCUUCCUUUGUCCUUUUAACUUUUCCGCUCUAGAAAAUGAAAAGAUAUAAUCUUUUAUCAGUCAUUGGCACACUAAACAUCUAAGAAAUGGCAGAAUUUUUUCCCUCCAUUCUUGUUCCUGGAAUCAUUGAGCAUUUGAACGCGUGGACGGCGAAAAAGUUGGGAUUAUUAUGGUCCUGUGUCGAAGAUUUUGAAAAGCUGAAGAACAUUAUUGUUUUAGAAUUACAACCUGUGCUUCUGGAUGCCGAGGAGAAACAAGCCGGAGACCUUGAAAUCAGUGGCUUGCUCCGGAUGCUAACAGAUAUCUUAUAUGAAGUGGACGGCUUGCUGGAUGAUUUAUCGAACAAAGCUCUUUGGAAAGAACUCAUGACCCGAAAUAUGAAGGCAAAACAGGUGUGCAUCUUCUUUUCCAAAUCGAAUCAACUUGUAUUUAACCGUAGAAUGGGUCUUAAGAUUAAGACUGUUCUAAAUGAUUUAGAUCACAUUGCAAACGACCUGAGGAAGUUUCAUUUUGAGCGCCAUGGAAAGAUACCGGUAGAAGAGAUUAAUUGGGAGAGGGAUAAUAAUGCUUUUUGUCCCGAAGAACUACUUAUUGGUAGAGAUGAGGAUAAAAAGGCAGUUGUUGAACUUUUAAUGGACUCCAACGUUGAGGACAAAGUUUCAAUACUUCCGAUUGUUGGAAUCAGAGGUAUGGGAAAGACAACACUAGCUCAGUUCGCAUUCAAUCACGAGAAAAUCCAAAAAUAUUUUCUGCUAAAAAUGUGGGUGCAUGUGUGUGUCUCUCAUGAUGAGGUAGAUAUGGAAAAAGCAAUCGUUAGAAAAAUCCUCGAAUCUGCCAGAAAUAAGAAAGUACCAUUUUAUGUUAAAAUGGAUCUCUUGCUUGACGAUAUUAGAAAAGAAAUUUAUGGUAAGAAGUACCUACUUGUCUUGGAUAAUUUGCGCAUCAUGGAUCCUGAAAGUUGGUUUGACUUGCGACGAGUUCUACACUAUCUACAGGAUGGUGCAAGAGGCAGCAAAAUUUUAGUAACUACACGUAGUGAAGAGCUGGUUGCUGAUAUUACUACUAUGUGCACAGUUAAACCAUAUUACUUGAGAGGUUUAGAUGAACGUCACUCAUGGUAUUUAUUUAAACGGAUGGCGUUUAAAAAUGGCCAAGAGCCAAACAAUAAGGGAAUUGUGAAUAUUGGAAUUAAGGAGAUUGUGAGAAAAUGUGAAGGUGUCCCUCUCAUCAUAAGAACAAUUGGAAGAUUAUCGUAUUUCAAAAAUUCAGAAACAAAGUUGUUGCCUUUUGUGAAUAAUGAACUUUCAAGAAUACGUCUAAAUGAAGAAGCCAGCAUAGCAACUCUAAAGUUGAUUUACGAUCAACUUCCGGGGCAUUUGAAACUAUGUUUUGCUUAUACUAGUUUAUUUCCUAAGAAUUACGAGAUUGAUAAAUCAACAUUGAUUAAUCUUUGGAUAGCACAAGGAUUUAUAAAGCCGUCAAAUGAAGAUGAAUGCCUUGAAGAUGCUGGUCAUGAAUACUUCGUGGAUUUAAUUUCGAGAUUUUUCUUUGAAAAAGUCACAACAGAUUGGUCGGGUGAAGUCACUAGCUUCAAAAUGAAUGACCUCAUGUAUGAUCUUGCUAUCUUUAUUGCAGUGAGACUUAAGAUGGGCACUCGUCAUAUAUGGGGCACUCCUCAUAGGGGCACUCGUCAUUUCAAUAUUCCCUUCAAUCCCCUACGAACAUUAAUUCUUUCAGCAAGUGACAGUAUCUGUGAGCCUUGGGGCAUGACAGAAUUCGAAUGUGAUGCAUUUAUUUCAAGCUUCAAAACGUUGCGCGCAUUGAAAUUUCAGGGUAGAGAUACAGUAAUUUUACCGUCAAGCUCGUUUUGGAAGUUAAAUAGUUUAAGAUAUCUUGAUCUUUCUGGAAUGUACUCGAUGAAAAAGUUACCAGAUUCUAUAACCAGCUUGCAGAAUUUGCAGACGUUAAAAUUGUGCAAUUGUCAUUGGCUUGAAGAAUGGCCCAGAGACUUUUCAAGAUUAUUCAACCUCAGGCUUCUUGACAUCAAUGGAUGUUGGAAACUCACUUAUAUGCCACGUGGAUUGGGGCAAUUGACUAAACUUCGGUCAUUAUCAGACUUCCUGGUAUCCCCCCUGGAUUCUGAUCUCAACAUGCAUAGUGCUGGACUGAAUGAAUUAAAUGGACUAAAUUACCUAAGAGGAGAUUUACAGAUUAGAAAUUUGGGAUGUGGGAAAGAUGAUGCUAAAGAUUACAAGGCUGCAAAUUUGAAGGCGAAACAAAAGAUUCGCUCUCUAAAAUUAUAUUGGGAUGAUUCGUUUGGGUUGAGAGAUGAUGCCGAUGCUGAAAUAAAAUUGAAAGGCUUUAAACCUCCCCCCAAUCUUAGAAGGCUUGAAUUAAUAGGUUACAAAGGUGCGGAGUUUCCCAGUUGGCUUUCGUCACUCUCAAAUCUUGUUGAAUUUCAAUUAUCGAAGUGUGAAAAACUGAAACAUUUGCCACCAUUGAGUAAACUGCCCUCUCUUAAGCGUCUGUUUCUUAAAUACUUGGACGAUAUUGAGUACAUUAUGGACGAUAGUGAGUACAUUAUGUCAGAUAGAGAUUAUACCAUUUUUGGGCAUGGGUUGAAAAUCUUCCCAUCCUUGGAGGAACUUCAAGUCUAUUAUUGCCCUAAUCUCAAGGGGUGGUGGAGGAAAGAGCCUUUACUCGCUUCAUUAUUUCCUUGCCUUUCAGAGCUAUCUGUCGCGGGUUGCACUGUUCUGGAUUCCAUGCCGAUGUUUCCACAUCUUGAAAAAGAGUUAGUCCUGUCUAAUGCCAGCUGGAAGCCAAUGCAACAGACGUUGAUGAAUAUGUCUAUAUUUGCCUCUUCUUCAUUCGUUCCUCUCUCAAAAUUGAAGCGUCUACGACUACGUAGGAUAGAAGAUCUACAGAUUCUCCCAGAGAAGGGACUGCAAAACCUGACUUCUCUUGUGUCUCUGCAGAUUUUCCACUGCCAUAGAUUAAAGUCUUUGUCUCAAGGUAUACAAUAUCUCACUGGACUUCAAGAGCUGGAGAUUAAUCAUUGUGAUAAGCUUGAUCUAGGCUGCCAUGAUGAGGCUGGAAUGGGAUGGCAAGGCCUUAAGAGCCUCCUGUCUCUGGAUUUCGUUGGGCUUCCAAAAUUGGUGCAUCUGCCGUUAGGUCUUCAACAUGUUACCACUCUACAUAAGUUCCAGAUUUCGAGUUGUUGCAUGCUGAGGGCCUUACCAGUUUGGAUUUGCAAAUGGACAUCGCUUCAACAGUUCGAAAUUUCUAAUUGUCCUAGUUUGAUUUCGCUGCCCAAAGAAAUGCGUUUGUUGAAGUCUUUGAAAGUGUUGACAAUUAGAAAGCAGUGUCCCAAAUUGUUGCCAGGUGCGAGCCCGAGACGGGAGAGGAUUGGUCCAAGAUUAAACACAUCGAUAAAUUGGACCUGGAUCGGCCCUCCGAGUUGCAGGAAGAAGUGAAGAACGUUACAAAGAGGUUCAAUGCUUAUCAUAAUUAUCCUAAUUCCGAAGUCAACAAUUCAGUGGAAAAGAGUCAUGCCACAGGUACGGCCAAAAAUACGGAUAAAAAAAGGACUCCUCGCACAUUUGUUACUAAUAAUUACACUGUUCAACAAGAAGGUGAAAGAAGACUAGUGAAGGGGGAGAGGGAGGAAGGGAGUGAUCUGGACGGAGGCAAAAAGGUUGUUGAGAAAUCGAGGAGGAGGAGAGGGGUCAAGUUAAGGGCGUCUUGAUGGACAUCUAAAAUGAUUUCCUUGAGUUGUCCAAAAAAAAGGGUUCCCAUGGCCCCAAACUGCAGCAGUCACCGUCUGAAGACAAUUAGGCUUGCGUGGGAAUAUCAUCUGGUGUCUUUGACGUUUGAGUUCUGCAUGGUCGUUGUUACCGAUGUUAUGGCUGUUAGAGCUUACACUUGAUUCGUACUACUUCAUGAAUCCGCUGAGAAUUAGACGGAAAAUGCGAGGGAUUCCAUUUUUACCUCUUGCAGAGGUGAUAAUGGAAGUGACAACCUUUGUGGAAAGGUGCAGGGGUUAUGCUGGGUGACUGUUGGUAAUUUGUGACCUUGAUUGUGGUAUAACACAACAUCUUAUUAGGUUGAGAAAUCAAGAGAUGUUAAUGUUUCAUUAACUUAUGGUGGAGGUUCAGUUGCUUUUAAAAGCAAAUUGUCCAAUUUCUUUCUAUUUCUCUCAAUAGUCUUAUGCAAAGGUAAAGAUCAGCUGACUGUUAUUGGAUGAAGACAACUGUUUUGUUACUUGUUUUAGCACACUUGAUAAAAUGGAUUGUUUCCACUCCAUCCAAUUGUAUUUAUAAAAUUUGAGAUUUGCAGUUUAUGCUUCUUCCAAUGGCAUUUGCUUCUAGCCAUGAUAUUGCAUUUUCCUUUUCAUCUUUUAUUCCUUCCAAGGUACUGUCGAAGUUGUUUGCGCAGUUUUAGAUGACUGAAGAGAUAGGCAAGUAACAUCUUAGCUAGCAUUGCUAGAAGACAGAUUUGUAUAUAUUUUUUAAAUAUGAACAGAUAAAGAGGAAAACGAGAUAGGCAUGUAACAUCUUCCCUAGCACUCUUUGAGAUUUUUGACUCAUUAUGAAGCAUGGGUUCACAUUGAAAUAUUGCAUAUCUAAUUAAUUGCUCGUUUUAUCUCAUCGCAGUUGUUUUGCUUGUAAAACCAAUUGGCGACUUUUCUUAUCUUCAGUACUUUCAAAAUAUAUACAAUCCAAUUUCUUGUGGUAUUGAUGUUCCAUAAUAUUUCUAAUGGAGUUUUACCCUAACUGAUGCUUGGUGACUCACUUUCCCAGGAUAUGCCACCAAUAUCUGUGAAUCAACCACUUCAAUUUCGUGAGUGCUUGCAUUGCUGUUAGCAUGACAAAUCUUACGCUUGCAGGAAAGAUUUGGUUCACAUGGUGGAGCAUAUAUGAAGAUGAUGACUACAACAUGAUGAUGCAACCAAGUGUUUGAGACUUCUGUAUUACUGCAUUCCAUGAACGUCAUUUGCCAUCAAGGAUUUUGCAGUUGGAUGUUGUACAGAAAAGAAAGGAUUUCCAACUAAAAAAUGGAGGAAAAUCUUUUUGGUUUGCUUCAAAGAUUCAUAUAAAUGCUUGUGACAAAAAUAACGAUGGAGAUACAAAAUGAUAAGAGUGUUGAUUCCUGCUGGUGGGAGUAACAACAUUUGCCUACCCAAGUUUAAGAAAUUUCAAAUUCAUCAGAACAUGAAUUUGCAAUUCGAAUAUUUUUCUCUUAGUUCUGUUCCCAAGAUUUGUGGUGUGUUGAAUUCAUAGAUACCUCCAAGAAUUAUCUUCACUUUGCAUUGUUCGAUAUGAUCAUGAACAGGAAAUCUAUCCAUACUUGAUGCAAAUGCUGUAUUCGAAUUCCACAGGGCACAAGAUUUCUUGAAUGAUAUUACUUCAUAUUUGCAGAUUUCUUCAA